rnacentral:lncRNA from 1 species
AACUGAAAGCACAUAUUUAUUUUUAUUUGGCACAAGAGGAAAAAAAUAAUUCUGUAACUAUAAAUGAAUAAAGAAAACAUAAACUGAAACAAAUGUUUUUGUUGUUAUAGUUUAAUUGUAUUCUCAGUUAUGAAUUGAACAAUAUAAACUAAAACAUAUAAAGGAAAUAGAGCAUCAACGCAACGCGACAAAUGACAUUAAAAAAAAUAGUUAAUUUUUUUUACGCAAAAUGUGAUGCUAUCCAAAAUUUCUGGGGAGAACACUGAAGGGGGAGGGUUUUUUUUACAUGUCGUGCUGUAUCUCAAAAACGAUUUAUGAUUAUUGCUUAAAACUUUACACACUUCUUUGUUAUAUUAAACUAAAGAUCUGUAUACUUUUUGGUUAUGACUCAAAAUUUUAUUUUUGAGUUAUUGAGUAUUUUGUAAAAAAGGGGAGGGUUUAUUUUUACAUGUCGCGCC